rnacentral:rRNA from 1 species
GAUGAACGCUGGCGGCGUGCCUAAUACAUGCAAGUCGAGCGAACAGACGAGGAGCUUGCUCCUCUGACGUUAGCGGCGGACGGGUGAGUAACACGUGGAUAACCUACCUAUAAGACUGGGAUAACUUCGGGAAACCGGAGCUAAUACCGGAUAAUAUAUUGAACCGCAUGGUUCAAUAGUGAAAGACGGUUUUGCUGUCACUUAUCGAUGGAUCCGCGCCGCAUUAGCUAGUUGGUAAGGUAACGGCUUACCAAGGCAACGAUGCGUAGCCGACCUGAGAGGGUGAUCGGCCACAAUGGAACUGAGACACGGUCAAGACUCCUACGGGAGGCAGCAGUAGGGAAUCUUCCGAAAUGGGCGAAAGCCUGACGGAGCAACGCCGCGUGAGUGAUGAGGGUCUUCGGAUCGUAAAACUCUGUUAUUAGGGAAGAACAAAUGUGUAAGUAACUAUGCACGUCUUGACGGUACCUAAUCAGAAAGCCACGGCUAACUACGUG